ensembl:lncRNA
AGACCCUUUUGAUUUGCAUUAAUUUAAGGUUUCUUCAGAAGUCACAUUUUGUGUACAAAACUCCACUUUACUGUUCUUAAAAUAUGGCAUUGAACUAACAUUUAUGGAGGGGAAUUAUAAGAAAACAGGAGGUGUAUAGUUAGCAUUUGUUACUUGACUGAACUUGAGCGAAGGCAGUCAAUGAAUAAAAGAGUAGAAAAACAAUCUCAAGCUUGUAAAGAGGACAUUUCAGGAAGCUCUCGCUCGGCCGACCACUUACAUAUGCUCUAAAUUUGGCAGCUUUAAUUUUCUAUGACGUUUCUCUCAGAAGCUAAGAAAUAAAAAUUUUAUAGCUCGGAACAUACAAAUGCAAAUAUGAUAAACAUGAGUUCCUAAAUAAAGAUCGCAUCCUCCAAAGACACACUACAACUAUAAAUAAGAGUGAGCAAAAAAGAUGAAAGACUAAUCCAGUCAAGAUCAAACGCUAGGCAUGCAAAUGUUCCGUGUCCUUUUCUCGGUUGCUGGGCAAUAACGGUUUGCAUUCGAAUCUUACUUUUUGUUGUUGUUUUUUUUGUAUCCAUUCCUCAAUAAGUGUCGCCACCAGAAGAAUGAAGCCCAGGCCUCUGGAGUUAAAUUAAGUUGCAAACCCGGCAAGCAUUCCUAAGUGUUCCACCAAGCCCCCUUUUGCUAUCAAUCGCUCCUUUAUACUAGCUGUCGCCUCCUUCCACACCGGAUGUUUGCAGUGGUCUGCAGCUGUUGUUUGAGGCCUAGCGGGGCUACAGACCUUUAGCUGGCAGAACAGAGAGAGGGGAACCAUGUUAGGGGCCUGGGAAAGGUCCUGAAAUUUCAUAUUUAAUCACACAAAAUAAGUAAAUACACAAAAACAUACAAGCAAACCUUUAGUUGUCAGUUAAAUGCAUGGCAUGAAGGAUCAGAUUUCCUUUAAUAAUGACCUACAUUUGUCCUGUUCCUGCUGUUAUAUGAGAGAAAAUAUGCAUUUGUUAUUUUUGGGUGAGCUAUUCCUUAAAGAUAAUUUUUUUUUAGCCAUUUAUGGUUAACGGCAACAGCACUUGUCGCAGUGACCUGACAUAUGGAGUUUACAACACUCAUCACACAUCACUGCAAUAAAAACACUGCAGCAUUUUAACAAUGUAUGGCGUAUUGCAAGUAGCCAACAAUUGGCACAGCUGAUCUAACAACCGCUUUGCACUCUUCCCGGGGUGUUUCCUUUCCUUUCCCAGCUGAAUUAGAGUUUAUAGGAGCCUUUCACACAACACGCUCCCACUAAAUUUAGCACAUCAUUAGUUUCACAGUUUUCAUAACACCAGUGCAGAGCCAUUCCUCUACAGACGGUUGUCAUGGCAAUGACAGAUCUCAUCACAGCUCUGAAUCAGAAUUUGUUUUAAAAGAAUUUCUAGCUUAUUUCUAGGCAGGACAAGGGAACUAAAACAACAUCAUGCAGCAACACUCUUGGCCUUAUGAAGUAAAUUGUGCAGGAGAUCUAGUGGAC